UGGGGAAUUUUGGACAAUGGGCGAAAGCCUGAUCCAGCAAUGCCGCGUGUGUGAAGAAGGCCUUCGGGUUGUAAAGCACUUUUGUCCGGAAAGAAAUCCUUGGCUCUAAUACAGUCGGGGGAUGACGGUACCGGAAGAAUAAGCACCGGCUAACUACGUGCCAGCAGCCGCGGUAAUACGUAGGGUGCAAGCGUUAAUCGGAAUUACUGGGCGUAAAGCGUGCGCAGGCGGUUUGCUAAGACCGAUGUGAAAUCCCCGGGCUCAACCUGGGAACUGCAUUGGUGACUGGCAGGCUAGAGUAUGGCAGAGGGGGGUAGAAUUCCACGUGUAGCAGUGAAAUGCGUAGAGAUGUGGAGGAAUACCGAUGGCGAAGGCAGCCCCCUGGGCCAAUACUGACGCUCAUGCACGAAAGCGUGGGGAGCAAACAGGAUUAGAUACCCUGGUAGUCCACGCCCUAAACGAUGUCAACUAGUUGUUGGGAUUCAUUCCUUAGUAACGUAGCUAACGCGUGAAGUUGACCGCCUGGGGAGUACGGUCGCAAGAUUAAAACUCAAAUGAAUUGACGGGGUCAUAGCU
rnacentral:rRNA from 1 species